rnacentral:rRNA from 1 species
UUCUACUCUUGACAUCCUGCGAACUUGGUAGAGAUACCUUGGUGCCUUCGGGAACGCAGAGACAGGUGCUGCAUGGCUGUCGUCAGCUCGUGUUGUGAAAUGUUGGGUUAAGUCCCGUAACGAGCGCAACCCUUGUCCUUAGUUGCCAUCAUUUAGUUGGGGACUCUAAGGAGACUGCCGGUGACAAACCGGAGGAAGGCGGGGACGACGUCAAGUCAUCAUGGCCCUUACGAGUAGGGCUACACACGUGCUAUAAUGGCAAGUACAGAGGGCCGCAAAGCCGCGAGGUGGAGCUAAUCUCACAAAGCUUGUCGUAGUCCGGAUUGGAGUCUGCAACUCGACUCCAUGAAGUCGGAAUCGCUAGUAAUCGUGAAUCAGAAUGUCACGGUGAAUACGUUCCC